CAUAGGAAAUGUACGAAAUUCGGAGCCACAGCCUCAGAGGACUUUUCCGUAAAAUUUCACCGCUUCCCUAAACUGGGAGAGGGAAAAAAUAUUUUAAGGUGGAAUUUCCGGUAGCUCUUCAGACCCAGCCAGUCUACAGGAUGUAUCAGAAGCACUGCUAGUUGCUGGUGCUGAACGUAGAUAAUGGUCUAAUAAGUAGAAGAACGGCCGGUAGAAGUUUAUAGCCGAGUUUAAAAUCGAUAACAGACUCAAUUUUUUAAAGAAUAAAGAGGCAGGCAGAGUACCUUCAGACAGUUGUAAUGAUAUAGAACAAGAAGCGAGGACGAUGACGCAGUGAUAUCAAAUAAUAUGAAAAAGUUUUUUGACGGCGCGUCAUGUGCUCAGAACGUAAAAACGUCUAUGGAUAGAAAAUUAAUGAUGAUGGGCAAACUGUGAAGUACCUUCAGAUAGUAGUAAUGAUAUAGAACAAGAAGCGAGGAGGAUGACGAAGUGAUAUAAAACAAUAUGAAAAGUUUUUUCACGACGCGGCAUGUGCUCCAAACGUAAACAUCUAUAAAUAAAUACUUAUUAAUGAUGAUGGGCAGACUGAGGUACCUUCAGAUAGGAGUAAUGAUAUAGAACAAGAAGCGAGAACGAUAACGCAGAGCUAUCAAAUAAUACAAAAAGUUUUUUGUCGACGCGCCACGUGCUCAGAACGUAAACGUCUAUGAAUAGAACAUCAUUGAUGAUGCUUAGACGCCUUAGACUGAGGUACCUUCAUAUAGUAGUAAUGAUAUAGAACAAGAAGC